UGUAUGCAAUAUUGUUAAAAUAAGAUGAAGACAUCGGUUUAAAAUGUUUCUGAAAGAAACUGUUAGUAGGGUUAUGUAAAAUCGCAAUGUCUUGUUAUUUGCUUACGGCAGGAAGAAGCAAAUGAUUUAUGCAGAUGCGCUUUACACGUCAUUUGACUUUCCAGAUAAAAGUGAGCCCGUAUGUUGAGUUCUUAUUGUUACGAAUCGAAUGUUUGUAAUUUUGUUUUUCUCGUUAAAUGUUAUUACGAAUGCGAUAGCAUUGAACGGCGUGCUUCGCAAAGGUGUCGUUCUGUAAGAGGGGUAUGCUAAGAACAAUUGUUGGGAAUGCAAUAACGCGAUUUAACUUGCUUUCAGGAAAUGAUGAUAUAGUGCAAUGAACUUUCCCGAAUGCAAUGGCUGUGUUGAAAUUUACAGAUGCUUAAAGGUAUUCCUUUGUGAAAGGAAGAAUAUUUGUACAUCAUUGAAAAACAUUUGUUUAGAAGAUUUAACUGGAUGCCCAUUGAGCCUGAAAAAUCCACCUGUGGCCUAAUGAUAUUGAAAUGACUAAUGAAUGAAAAUGAUUGAUUGAAAUGAAAUAUUAAUAUUGAAAAAAAUAUAAAAAUGAUUGAAAUCAAAAAUCUAAAGAUGAUCCAAGAAUGAAAAAUAUCCCAGUAGUAAGAUUUUUGAAAUUAUUUUAUCCAUGUUGUAUUUUUUCGUUUCCAUUUAACUUCUCGUAUUAGUAAUAGCAAAAUAAAGUAAUUCUAUUGCCUGCUUUCUAAUUUCUUCAUUUUUUUUUUUUUUUGAAUAAGAUGCCUGAAAUUAAUAGAAAAUGAGCUACAGAAGUUGCUUUGUUAGCCCACUUGGAAAUUGUUUUUCAAAGUAGUAGUUGUUCAAAUAUGAAAUUCUUAUAAACUUUUUUGUUUUUUGAAUAUGUUUCUAUUUAGUUUUCUAUUAAAAAUAUAAUUGGAUUUACUCAUUAAUAAACAUUGAUUUCCGACUGUUUCUUUAUUCAUACUAAAUUGGUCAAAGGAAGGCAUACUAAAUAUCAUUCAAUAGUUACAUUUAGAAUUUUCUUAAAUUUUAAUUACAUACCACUGAUGUUCCACAUCGUUUUUUAAAUGCGGUAUAUUUUAUAUUCUGCAAAAGCUUUCUCUUCUUAUUUACUCAACUUGUGAUUAACUUUGGCUAUUCAAGUAAUGUUUAUAUUCAAUGUUAGUAAAAUUUAUUAAGUAUAUUAUAAUAAGACUCAACUUUAUUUAUUGAUUUUGGUAUAUGAAUAUCCUUAACUUGUAUUCUAUUGGUUUUGAUACCUAUAUUUGUCUCUAUACAAAGCAUUUUAUGCUGUGAUUUUCUAAAAGUAAAUAUAGGAAAAUAAUGUUGCAAUGCACUUAAGUUAUUGUUGCUUGUUACAUAAUAGUUAAUGACUUCAUCAAAUUCACAUUAUGUCAGACUGAAGAUAUUUGUAUAAUGAAUAGGUAUAAAUGAACCACAAGAUAUAUUUAACAAUGCAAGUAAUUAAUUCUCUCUAGAUUAAAUUUUAUUUUUGACAUUAAUCCAUACAUUUAUUAAAUCAAAUUAGAAUGGGCUGACCUAGAUUUCAGAUUUAUAAUGCAUUACAGCAAUAUUUUCAAGACCUCCUAAGACAUAAUUUUAUCCAACAAUUGUCCAUUCAUUCAUAGGAUUCAUUUUUAUGUUACAUUCCAUAAAUUUUUUUAUAUCGUUAACUCUGACGAUUAUAUUACUUUACUAAGGACUUUGAAAUCAUGCAUAGCAUUAGGCAUUAACAAGAAACCUUUAUGUGUGUUUGAAACAUAUCAACAGUCUUGAAUCCAAAAUCUGUUUUCUCCCUAUCUUUCUACUUAUAUAAUUAUUGAAUUAUAUCAUACAAACUACCAUGCUUAAAUUGAUACUACAUCAAAUAUUGCGCUAAAUACCAUUUUCCUGAAAGAAUAUAUUUAACACACAUCUAUAACUCUGUAUAACAUAUAAACUACUAUCAAAUUAUUUCCUUUCCAAAUUUUUGUAUAUUACAUAAUAAUUUAUAUGCUGCUAAUAGUUAAAAAACACUCCUUUUAUGGAUUGGCUUUUACCAGUCUUGUGUUCCAAAAUCACACUUUAAAUAUUUACAGCAGGUAAUUUAGACUGUAGACUUAUAAUGUAUCAUUGCUGCUUAGUUUGUUUGCUUCAGCUUUUAUUUUGUGUGGAUGCUUCAGUUAGAAAUCAAUUGUUGAUGCUUUAAAAGUCCUAUUCAAGUCCUUUAAUUUCACAAACUGAUUUCUAAAAAAUUUUGUUAACUUUUAAACCUUGUAGAUUUGUUCUUUCUUUUUAGCAAAUAAAUACCUUGCAGAAUUGUCAUUAUAAACAUGUAAAGAAGGAUUAUAAACCUUCUUUUGCCACUUCCUUGAAAGAUUUGGUGUCUUUUUUUUUUUUUUUUUGAGGGGGGGGGGAGUUGAGAAUUGUUUCCUCUUUAGAAAAUUCUUCAUGAAGGGAAAAGUUUUAUGAGAUUAGAUCAAGAGAAUGGAUAAAUUGAGGAAGAACUGGAAUAUGGCAUUUUAACUGUUAAUUUGCUAUCAAGAGGAGUUAAAUUGUUAUUGUUAACCGUUAAUUUGUUAUUAACUGGAGUGCUAUUGUUAUGCAGCAUUCAUAACUUUGUUGCUUCUGCUACAAGAAUUGCAAGUUAUAUGCAUAAGCUAUGUAUAUUUGAACUAAAUGAGACUUGCCCUGAGUAGCCAAUUCACCAUACUAUUUUCUUUCUCUGUGAGAGAUAUCUUAAUUACAUUUGGAAAGCAAUUUUAAUAUUUCUGAACUUUUUGAAUAUAGAUGGAUGGCUUUCCUUAUGCUUCCUCUUAUUAUUCUUUCAUUUUAACACACAUUCUAUAACUCAUUAAUUUUUGAAAGUCAUCUUAACUGAAAGAAACCAUAGUAUUAGUCAGUUAUAUUCCACUGUGCGUAGAAGUAUCACAAUGUCCAUUAUUUAAUAGCUGCAGAGGUGGCUCUUGAUAUUUCCCAGUAUAAUUUUGACCUUUAUGUUUGCGAAACUAAAUAUAUUAUAAAAUGUUUCUGUUUCAUAUUGUUCUUUUCGAUGUGACACAAGAAAUUUUUAAGUUAAAGUGUAUAUAAAUUUUUGCAGUCUUAAUUCUUAAAUAUUUUUUUCAUUCUGUCAUAUUUUAUAGGCUGCACAUAAAUUAUUUCUUUUAUACUCACUUUUAAUGAAAUUAGUGAAUUAUAUUUUAAAAUAUAUCAAAAUAGUCAU